rnacentral:rRNA from 2 species
AGGUGCGAUCAUAUCAGCACUAAUGCACCGGAUCCCAUCAGAACUUCGCAGUUAAGCGUGCUUGGGCGAGAGUAGUACUAGGAUGGGUCACCUCCUGGGAAGUCCUCGUGUUGCACCUC